rnacentral:rRNA from 1 species
UACGUAGGGUGCAAGCGUUGUCCGGAAUUAUUGGGCGUAAAGAGCUCGUAGGCGGUUUGUCGCGUCUGCUGUGAAAUCCGGAGGCUCAACCUCCGGCCUGCAGUGGGUACGGGCAGACUAGAGUGCGGUAGGGGAGAUUGGAAUUCCUGGUGUAGCGGUGAAAUGCGCAGAUAUCAGGAGGAACACCGGUGGCGAAGGCGGGUCUCUGGGCCGUAACUGACGCUGAGGAGCGAAAGCAUGGGGAGCGAACAGG